rnacentral:misc_RNA from 1 species
CCGUCUUCAUUUUUAGACAGGCCCAAGGACGCGCAUACACCCACAUACCGAAAUCCGUAGACGCGUAUGCUGAGGAAACCCCAGAGGAAGGACCAAGCAAAGCGAUACACUUGCACGCACGCGCGCACGGGCCCUUGUUGACGCUCGAAUCAGAACACAUUAUCCGGUGCGUGAUGCUGCGUGGCUGUGUUGCGGCUUGCGGCCAGUGCCGCGAGUCUGCGAGUACUGUCUCCGGUCAAUCGCUCUGGUUGCUGUCGCGGCCGUGGACACGCUCGCCGUCGCUUCCCUCGAGCACACAUGCGUGUCUCGGUCUGCGGCGCACCUUGGGCACCGUUACAUCAUCGCGGUCCUCCUCCUGCGCCACCAUGCACCACCCAACGCGUUGGGUUAGCCGCAAAUCGAUUGAGGAGCAGCUCCCGUCUAACAUCAAAGUCGACCCCAAUGCAUCUGCGGCUGCGAGCAGGGACGACGAGGGGCUCGGCCGCGACGCUUUCUCCAGCGGCAUCAACGGCAUUUACGGUAAUCGUGCCGAGUCGGCGAUGCGCGGCAUGCUGGGGCCGCAGGGGCAGGCAGACGCACGGGAGUCCCGCGCUGUUCCUAUCCUCGGUCGGGCGUCGGUGCAAGGCACGAAGUACACGCUAGACCGAUCGACUGUGUUUGAGCAUUGGCGCUUUCACUGCCCCGAGCCGGUUGGCUGGCAUCUGUCCAAGCUGGGCUCCACGACGUGCAAGAUGGUCAACGACGUGAACGAAGCGGUGGAGUCGCUUCAGCUUCAGAUCAUCAAGGGCUGCAACGUGUUCGAAAUCGACGGAGCCGCCUCGGAGGUACAUCAGAGCAUCGCCCGUGGAAUUUACGAGGCCUUGCAGGCCUUUGAGCUGGACCGCAGCGGCUUUGUAAUGAUAGCUCGCUGCGGCCUCAUCAAGCAGCCCCGCUUCCAGGACGAAAUCACGCGCGUCGAGGCAUCCAACACGGCGGCCGUGCGCAACCGAAUCAUCCCUAUCUUUGAGCGCUACAAGGCCUCCUCGCUGCCAUCGACAUCCCUCAAAUCCGGCUUCCGCAUCAGCGAGCUGGAUGACUCACAGCUGGCGCGGCUGAACCUGCGCCGUGUAGACCGGACGACGGCCGCUGGGCUGUCGCCGGACUGGCUGGAUGCCUUCUUCACCAAUGUUGCCUACAACACGCGGCUGGAGUGCAUCGACGUCCUCCUGCUCGAGGGGAUACACACGCUCUUCGACGGCCGACCGGACGAGCACGUCGAAGACGACAUCCUCCAGCUCUUUGUGUAUCUUGAGCGUCAGGUCAAGCAGGGCGUGCUGCAGUACUACGGGAUCUGCUCACCUCACCUCGCUCCUCCGGUGCCGCGCAAUUAUCCGGAAAUGCCACCCGAUGCGCUUGUGCCAGACAAGUACCGCACGCCGCCGAAGGAGCCGGCCACGAUCAACCUCUAUGGCCUCAUGGCCCUCGCCGAGCGUGCCGGCGGCGCAGACCACCACUUCCGCUUUGUGCAGUACCCCUUCAACCUUACGCAGCACCAGGCGAUCAGCAGUCCUCUGCCGUACGACGCGAAUCACACCCUGGCGACGCUGUGCAAGGCACUGGGGCUCACCGCCCUCGGCUACAGCCCACUGGAGGCGCCAAACUUGAUGCAGCUGCCGGAGCGCUACCACAACUUUCCCAUGGAGGCGGACCUCAAGGCGCUGCGGAUGAACUUCUUCACGGUGUGCGAACGCAGCGUGCUGAAGGAGAUGGAGAUCAAAGACACGAUCGACAAGGGUCCCGACACACUGCCGCCGCUCGAGCAUCUCUUCGUGGCCAGCGUCUACUUGGCGGCGCAGCGACAGUUCACAAACCUCUUCUUCUUUACAGACUGGGCAAACUAUUACAUGACGCCGCGCUUCCGGCGUGCCAUGACGCGCUUCAAAGAGGCGUCCAGCGCGGACCUGAAGGAGUGGGCGAAGCAGUACGAACAGCUCAUCAGCGACCUGCUGCGGAUGCGCCAGCGCAUGUUCCAGCACAAGCACGGCAAGCAGGCCGGACUUGUCAACAUGGCCAUUGACUAUGUGAGCCCCACGCUGGCGCGGUGCCCCAUGCUGAACCAGAAAGCCAUUAACUUUGCCACCUACGGUUGCAAUGCGCUCCUGUGCGGUUUCCACGUGUCGCGGUACUUCCACGAGGCAACAGAGCUGAACCCAGCCAAGGACGGCAACCUGCCUAUUCCCGAAGAAGAGCUCCUGGCGCUGUGCAGUGCAGAGACGGUGAGCUACGCGAACGUGUCUCCGCCGCAUCCGUACAUGCUGGAGCCUCUCGUGGGGGAAGGAAAGAUUUCGAAGCAGCCAAGUAAGGGUGCUGCGUACCUCGUCCGCAUCGACCCUCAGAAUCCCAAGUUCCCGGACAUUCCAGAAGAGCUGCAGACCGGUGACAGCGACGGCGAAGCUCCGGUAUCUGCAGACUGCGCCACAGCAGCUCGGCACAAGGAUUAGGCAUCCGAGAAAGCGGCGAAGGAGUAAUGAGCCACUACGCCGCUCGGUGGGCGCCACGCGAACGGGGGGGGUGUAGGGAGAAAAGUGAGGGCGGAACGGCUAAGGCCCAUACACGUGGGUGUGGUGACGCGUCUUCUGCUUUGCGUGCUCUUGAUCACCGCUUGGCCCCCACUUCCCCUUCCAACACACACACACACUUUCUCCGCCCAUCCACCGACUCGUCUUUCGUUUCCACUAUUGUGCGUAAGCUGUGUACCAAGACCGGCGUGCGGGCGUGCGGGUGCGUGUCGCUCUUACUGCAUAGUAGUCGGCGGUCUUUAUGGAAUCACUUCGUUGUUGGCCGUUGCUGGCUGCCGUUCUUUUUUUUCUAUCGUUUUUCCUCUUUACGACUUGCUUGUCGCCACUCACUCACUCGCCGAUGUCUACGCUGCACAGACACCAUAGCAAUGCGCACUAUGGCUCCCCCUCCCCUCCGUCCCCGCAAGCGCUUCUCUGCGUGUGCCCCUCAGCACCCUCACCCCUCCGCUUCCCGUUUUCCGUUUCUACUUAUGUAUCUCUCAUCGUGGUCCGUGAUGGGUAGCGGGGGGAGAGAAGCUCUAUGUGUGUGUGUGUGUGUGUGUGUGUGUGGAAGAGAGUGAGGG